UGGGGUGUAGCCAAGUGGUAAGGCAGCGGGUUUUGAUCCCGCCACGCGUUGGUUCGAAUCCAGCCACCCCAGCCA
rnacentral:tRNA from 1 species